rnacentral:rRNA from 1 species
CGACGAAAACCUUACCCACCUUUGACAUGUACGGAACUUGCCAGAGAUGGCUUGGUGCUCGAAAGAGAGCCGUAACACAGGUGCUGCAUGGCUGUCGUCAGCUCGUGUCGUGAGAUGUUGGGUUAAGUCCCGCAACGAGCGCAACCCUUGCCAUUAGUUGCUACGAAAGGGCACUCUAAUGGGACUGCCGGUGAUAAACCGGAGGAAGGUGGGGAUGACGUCAAGUCCUCAUGGCCCUUAUAGGUGGGGCUACACACGUCAUACAAUGGCUGGUACAAAGGGUUGCCAACCCGCGAGGGGGAGCUAAUCCCAUAAAACCAGUCGUAGUCCGGAUCGCAGUCUGCAACUCGACUGCGUGAAGUCGGAAUCGCUAGUAAUCGUGGAUCAGAAUGUCACGGUGAAUACGUUCCCGGGUCUUGUACACACCGCCCGUCACACCAUGGGAGCGGGUUCUGCCAGAAGUAGUUAGCCUAACCGCAAGGAGGGCGAUUACCACGGCAGGGUUCGUGACUGGGGUGAAGUCGUAACAAGGUAGGCGUAGAUGA